GGCAAGUUUCAGGGAAGGUGCAAUUCCUUACUGGCGGUGACAGAAGUUGGUCACAUUCACUUCUGCAGCCCGCGAGCCGUGCAAACGGCAGAUACCGGUGUGAGUCCGGAGCCAACGGUCACAGUCCGGAUGAAAGAAACGGAGC
rnacentral:ncRNA from 1 species